rnacentral:rRNA from 1 species
AUUGAACGCUGCGGAAUGCCUUACACCUGCCAGUCGGACGGCAGCACGGGGGCAACCCUGGUGGCGAGUGGCGAACGGGUGAGGAAUACAUCGGAACGUUCCCGGUCGUGGGGGAUAACGUAGCGAAAGUUACGCUAAUACCGCCUACGAACCGAGGAUGAAAGCGGGGGACCUUCGGGCCUCGCGCGGUCGGAGCGGCCGAUGUCAGAUUAGGUAGUUGGUGGGGUAAAGGCCUACCAAGCCGACGAUCUGUAGCUGGUCUGAGAGGACGACCAGCCACACUGGGACUGAGACACGGCCCAGACUCCUACGGGAGGCAGCAGUGGGGAAUUUUGGACAAUGGGCGCAAGCCUGAUCCAGCCAUUCCGCGUGCAGGACGAAGGCCUUCGGGUUGUAAACUGCUUUUGUAUGGAACGAAAAGGCUCUGGCUAAUACCUGGGGCUCAUGACGGUACCGUAAGAAUAAGCACCGGCUAACUACGUG